CGUAACAAGGUCUCCGUUGGUGAACCAGCGGAGGGAUCAUUACCGAGUUUACAACUCCCAAACCCAAUGUGAACGUUACCAAACUGUUGCCUCGGCGGGAACUCAUGCCCCGGGUGCGUCGCAGCCCCGGACCAAGGCGCCCGCCGGAGGACCAACCAAAACUCUUUUUGUAUACCCCCUCGCGGGUUUUUUAUAAUCUGAGCCUUCUCGGCGCCUCUCGUAGGCGUUUCGAAAAUGAAUCAAAACUUUCAACAACGGAUCUCUUGGUUCUGGCAUCGAUGAAGAACGCAGCGAAAUGCGAUAAGUAAUGUGAAUUGCAGAAUUCAGUGAAUCAUCGAAUCUUUGAACGCACAUUGCGCCCGCCAGUAUUCUGGCGGGCAUGCCUGUCCGAGCGUCAUUUCAACCCUCGAACCCCUCCGGGGGGUCGGCGUUGGGGAUCGGCCCUCCUCUUGCGGGGGCCGUCUCCGAAAUACAGUGGCGGUCUCGCCGCAGCCUCUCCUGCGCAGUAGUUUGCACACUCGCAUCGGGAGCGCGGCGCGUCCACAGCCGUUAAACACCCAACUUCUGAAAUGUUGACCUCGGAUCAGGUAGGAAUACCCGCUGAACU
rnacentral:rRNA from 1 species